UACGUAGGCAGCAAGCGUUGUUCGGAGUUACUGGGCGUAAAGGGUGCGUAGGCGGUCCUGUAAGUAUGGUGUGAAAUCUCCCGGCUUAACUGGGAGGGUGCGCUAUAGACUGCGGGACUAGAGGGUGGGAGAGGAAAGUGGAAUUCCUGGUGUAGCGGUGAAAUGCGUAGAUAUCAGGAGGAACACCAGUGGCGAAGGCGACACGCUGGGUCACACCUGACGCUAAAGCGCGACAGCAUGGGGAGCGAACGGG
rnacentral:rRNA from 1 species